CACAUACUCCCUCCGUUCAGAAUUACUUGUCUCGAAAAUGGAUGUAUCUAGAACUAAAAUACGUCUAGAUACAUCCCAUUUCUAUGACAAGUAAUUUCGAACGGAGGGAGUAGAAC
rfam:Triticum aestivum genome assembly, contig: Triticum_aestivum_CS42_TGACv1_scaffold_542504_6DS